GUGGACGCUUGCCUUAAAGAUUAAGCCAUGCAAGCCAGCGAAGGUAACGGAGCGGCGAACGGCUCAGUAGGACAGGGUUAUCUGACCACCGAACAGGAUAACCGCGGUAAUCUGUGGCUAAUACGUGUGUGGGUGAGACUCUGCCCUAUCAGCUUGGGGGUACGGUAAGUGCGUACCCUUGCGACGACGGGUAACGGGAAAUCGGGGUUUGAUUCCGGAGAGGGAGCCUGAGAAACGGCUACCACAUCCAAGGAAGGCAGCAGGCGCGCAAAUUACCCACUCCCGGCACGGGGAGGUAGUGACGAAAAAUAACGAUACGGGACUCUUCCGAGGCCCCGUGAUUGGAAUGAGUACACUUUAAAUCCUUUAACGAGGAACCAUUGGAGGGCAAGUCUGGUGCCAGCAGCCGCGG
rnacentral:rRNA from 1 species